GACGAACGCUGGCGGCGUGCCUAAUACAUGCAAGUCGAGCGAAGUUUUUCUGGUGCUUGCACUAGAAAAACUCAGCGGCGAACGGGUGAGUAACACGUAAAGAACCUGCCUCAUAGACUGGGACAACUAUUGGAAACGAUAGCUAAUACCGGAUAACAGUAUUUCUCGCAUGAGAGAUAUUUAAAAGUUGGUUAUGCUAACACUAUGAGAUGGCUUUGCGGUGCAUUAGCUAGUUGGUGGGGUAAAGGCCCACCAAGGCGACGAUGCAUAGCCGACCUGAGAGGGUGAUCGGCCACACUGGGACUGAGACACGGCCCAGACUCCUACGGGAGGCAGCAGUAGGGAAUCUUCCGCAAUGGGCGAAAGCCUGACGGAGCAACGCCGCGUGAGUGAAGAAGGAUUUCGGUUCGUAAAGCUCUGUUGUUAGGGAAGAAUGGAUAUGUAGUAACUAUACAUGUAAGAGACGGUACCUAACCAGAAAGCCACGGCUAACUACGUG
rnacentral:rRNA from 1 species